rnacentral:rRNA from 1 species
GAACGAAGUAGCAAUACUUAGUGGCAGACGGGUGCGUAACAUGUGGGAAUCUGCCUUUUGGUUCGGAACAACACGGGGAAACCUGUGCUAAUACCGGAUAAGUCCUUACGGAGAAAGUUUUAUGCACCAUUGGAUGAGCCCGCAUUUGAUUAGCUAGUUGGUGAGGUAAAAGCUCACCAAGGCGAUAAUCAAUAGCUGAUUUGAGAGGAUGAUCAGCCACACUGGGACUGAGACACGGCCCAGACUCC